UGUUCUGUGGCUUAGUUGGUUAAAGCGCCGGUCUAGCGAAUACGGAGUCGUGGGUUCGAAUCCCACCAUAACGC
rfam:Aedes albopictus isolate Foshan contig86024, whole genome shotgun sequence.